AUCAUUAGUCUUGUUAGAAAAUGGAUUCCAUGUGGUGCCUGCACCUCACUUCCUCUAUUAUGGUCAUGUUUAUUUCAUAUUUGAUUGCUGGAGACUAGCUUAUAUGUCUGUAUUCCAGCUCCAAGAGAGGACAAGGAGGUGAAUCUUCUGGCCGGCUUGGGUCGUGGAGAGAAGGGACUCAUCAUGUGAGAAGUCUCCUGUGAUGAAAAAGUAUCCGAAGGGCUGGAAAUCUGCCCAGCUUUUUGCCUCUCUUUCCAGCCUUAGAACACCGCAGAGGCCACCAGAAGGUACCGCAGUGACUGGUGACAGUCCUGUCGAGCUGUAAGCAGAGGCUGGGAAGGGCUUGUAGCCCAUCGUCUAAUCAAGCUCAUGGAAAGUGUCAACAUAUUAGACAUGCUCACCUUACUCUACCACAGUCUUCCGAUAAAAUGAGAUUCAACUAAAACAGCUGCUGUGAGUGACUGUAAGAAAAACUACAACUGGGGACAGGGAGGGGCCUUAGCGGGUAAAAUGCCUGCUCAAGUGCAAGCCUGGUGACCCAAGUUCAGUUGCUCAGAAUCCAUGUAAAAGCCAGACAGAAUCCUAGCACUCCUGGAAGUGGAGACGAGAGACUCCGCCCCCAUCCCAGAAGCUCAAGGGCUGGCUGGCUUGGAGUAUCUGUGUAGCAGCGGCUAAUGAGAGACCUUGUCUCAAAAACAAGGUGAAAGGCGAGGAUAGACCCAUGCAGUUGUCCUCUAACCUCCACACACACACUGUGGUAUGUGAGUGCUCUCUCACAAUCACAAUCACACACACACACACACACACACACACACACACACACACACUAAAUCUAUAUAUUUAAACCUUGUUAGUGUGUGCAGGUGUGUGCAUGCUAAGGUCAUGUGGAGGUCAGAGGACAACUUUCAGGGGCUGAUUUUCUCCUUCCGUCAUGGGACUUGGGGAUGGGACACAGGUCACUGUGCAUUCUCAGUGAGCCUGUACUUACUGAGCCAUCUCACCAGUCAGAAGCAACAUUAAAAAAGAAGAAAAAUCAAAUUGCUUUUAGUCUUGGGAAUGAAGGAGGCAGUUCCUCUCUACUCUCUCACUACACGCUCUUCUGGUUUUAUUUUAAGUUGAUUCCCCCCAGGCUCGGUUAAGUAUUUCUUCGGCGCUCCGUCUUUAUGCUUUUGGUUAAGCAUAUGUGUAUGACCUAGCAGCCCUCCGUGUCAGGUCCCUGCUUCCCACCCCUCCAUAACUUAUCAUACACUGAGCCUGCAUACACAUCUUGAUGAGUUUUUACACAUGUGGCCACCAAGGACAUCAAGAUGUAGCACAUCUUCAGAAUUCCAGAGGUCUCUUUUGUGCUCCUCUGUGGUCAGGAACAUCAAAGCUAACUGCAAUUGUGACUCCCACCGUCAAGUUAGUUUUGACUACUUACAAACUUCACUUGAAUAUUGUCACGUGGUGUGUUCUUUUUGUGUGUGUCUGGCUUCUUUUUAUCAAGGGUAUCUCUUUGGCUGUGUAAAUAUUUAAUGUGUAUGUAUGUAGUUACCUGCUGAUGGCCAUUUAUGCUGUUUCCAUCCCAGGAUUGUUAUGAAUAAAGCCAUGAAUUUUAAAUGUUACUGUUUAUACUCACUUAUCAUGUAAGAUGGAUCCUUCCUUUAUUCAAUAUCCACUUCCAUGUCUCUCUUGCUCUGGGGGCUGGUGGAAAGAGAAAAUGGAUCCCUGGAGGGGAAAGAGUCUGUUUAUCGGGAGUCUGCCCUGUGGUGAAGCAUCACUGCCUGACACGUGGACUCUUCCUGGCAGUACCAUGAGCAAGGCUUUUCUGUUUCAUGAGGACCAAAUUAAGGUGUAUCAUGAGACAGAUGACCCUACUCAUACACAGGAGCGUGUACACACACACUAAAAAAGAAAAGGAAAGAAAAAAUAGACGACUUGCUCAAAGUCAGACGUCUCUGAAGUGGCAAGGACUGCUAUCUCCUUCCACAUCUGUGACUUGCACGAUGACCAUGACGAAGUUCACUGAGCACAGCUGGUUCCCUGGAGUCUGGAAAGUGAUACCAUUUGUUUCCUCUGCUCUGCCCUCCAUUCCCUGCGGUGGAUGACACCCACUGACCCAGGCUCUGCCUUCCCACCGUGCUGCACUCAGGUGUCCACUUUUGUUUUGCUUCUCAGUCCUUGCUCUCUUGGGAAGAGUUUCUGGCUGGUCCUAGCUUCCUCCUCCCCCAUUUCCUCACCCCAUGGGGUGUAAAUGCAGAUAUGGUAGCUGUUCAUCUUUU